rnacentral:lncRNA from 1 species
UGCUGCGACCAUAAUCCCAAAGACCAAUAGGGCGGAAUACCCUUCUCAGUCAAUCAAUCAGGAAAAUGGCUGUUGGGUCUGCUUCGAUCCCGAGGAAGGCCUCGAGACAUGUCUUUAAAGUGUAGACUACUUUCUAACUUGAUCGGUCUGUCAGUCUGACCACUUCGGUAUAGGAUUUUAAGCAGUAUACCUUCUACCCUUUUCCGACCAUGGUCAGGUAUUCUCUGGGCAGCAAAAAUCAAUCUUCUUCCAGCAUCAUCCUGGGCUCUCGAACGAGAACCCUCAGAAACCUGCUUGGAAGCAGUACCAGCAUGAGCAUUCUUUGAAGGACUCAAUCAAUCCUUGACAGAUACUCAUUGUGUAGACGAAGUCAUAGCCAUCGGGUAUCCUUUAGAGGUAACUGUUCUACUCUGCUUCACCAUGGAUUCCGACGUAGAGCAGCUACAAUUUGUGAUUGAAAACUUCAAGAACACUAGAACACGCCCUCUUUCUAGCGCCAAUGUUAACGCCAGAAUUUUUCUCCACGUCCCAAUGACGUAAGACGUCUUGAUCCUGCACAGUAAACACAGUCAACACCAAAAGCUUGACGGCUAGGACCGUCGGGGGAUAGCUCCGGCGUGAGAGUCAGUACAGGCGAUCACAAGGUUAACAAUGGAGGAAUAAAUAUCUAGUGACUUGAGAGCAAUAAUUUAUGAGUUACCUUUCACUGUGUGUCAUCCUUGUUUUAUAUCCCCAAAGUCCGGUUUGUCCUGUAUGCAACUGACUUUUCGGGCCCACAGCUUUCAGCCGACUAAGCCCUGUCCAAUCCUCAUUAAAUGCAAUGCAGAGAUGACAGUCAAAGUUCUAUCCCCAAUCUACACCGGUCAAAACCCAAGUGGAACCAUACUCAUCUAGUAAUUCGGCCCACUGCAUCCGGACCAAUAGAGCAAGAAUAAUCAUAAC